UGGGGAAUUUUGGACAAUGGGGGAAACCCUGAUCCAGCCAUCCCGCGUGUGCGAUGAAGGCCGUGGGGUUGUAAAGCACUUUUGGCAGGAAAGAAACGUCAUGGGUUAAUACCCCGUGAAACUGACGGUACCUGCAGAAUAAGCACCGGCUAACUACGUGCCAGCAGCCGCGGUAAUACGUAGGGUGCAAGCGUUAAUCGGAAUUACUGGGCGUAAAGCGUGCGCAGGCGGUUCGGAAAGAAAGAUGUGAAAUCCCAGAGCUCAACUUUGGAACUGCAUUUUUAACUACCGGGCUAGAGUGUGUCAGAGUGAGGUGGAAUUCCGCGUGUAGCAGUGAAAUGCGUAGAUAUGCGGAGGAACACCGAUGGCGAAGGCAGCCUCCUGGCAUAACACUGACGCUCAUGCACGAAAGCGUGGGGAGCAAACAGG
rnacentral:rRNA from 1 species